AUUGAACGCUGGCGGCAGGCCUAACACAUGCAAGUCGGGCGAGCGGCGGACGGGUGAGUAAUGUAUGGGAAUCUAGCUUAUGGAGGGGGAUCACUACGGGAAACUGUAGCUAAUACCGCGUACCAUAGGAUGCGCCCAAGUGGGAUUAGGUAGUUGGUGAGGUAAAGGCGCACCAAGCCGACGAUCUCUAGCUGGUCUGAGAGGGUGAUCAGCCACACUGUGACUGAGACACGGCCCAGACUCCUACGUGAGGCAGCAGUGGAGAAUAUUGCACAAUGGGCGCAAGCCUGAUGCAGCCAUGCCGCGUGUAUGAAGAAGGCCUUAGGGUUGUAAAGUACUGUCAGCGGGGAGGCGUUACCCGCAGAAGAAGCACCGGCUAACUCCGUGCCAGCAGCCGCGGUAAUUC
rnacentral:rRNA from 1 species